rnacentral:ncRNA from 1 species
UGAAACUUGUCGGAGUGCCAAUUGGCUGAGACCGCAAUGCGGGAUCCGUUGAACCUGAUCAGGCUAAUACCUGCGAAGGGAACAAGAGAAAUCUUCUG